rnacentral:rRNA from 1 species
GAUGAACGCUAGCUACAGGCUUAACACAUGCAAGUCGAGGGGCAGCAUGAACUUAGCUUGCUAAGUUUGAUGGCGACCGGCGCACGGGUGAGUAACACGUAUCCAACCUGCCGAUGACUCGGGGAUAGCCUUUCGAAAGAAAGAUUAAUACCCGAUGGCAUAGUUCUUCCGCAUGGUAGAACUAUUAAAGAAUUUCGGUCAUCGAUGGGGAUGCGUUCCAUUAGGUUGUUGGCGGGGUAACGGCCCACCAAGCCUUCGAUGGAUAGGGGUUCUGAGAGGAAGGUCCCCCACAUUGGAACUGAGACACGGUCCAAACUCCUACGGGAGGCAGCAGUGAGGAAUAUUGGUCAAUGGACGAGAGUCUGAACCAGCCAAGUAGCGUGAAGGAUGACUGCCCUAUGGGUUGUAAACUUCUUUUAUACGGGAAUAAAGUGAGGCACGUGUGCCUUUUUGUAUGUACCGUAUGAAUAAGGAUCGGCUAACUCCGUGCCAGCAGCCGCGGUAAUACGGAGGAUCCGAGCGUUAUCCGGAUUUAUUGGGUUUAAAGGGAGCGUAGGCGGACGCUUAAGUCAGUUGUGAAAGUUUGCGGCUCAACCGUAAAAUUGCAGUUGAUACUGGGUGUCUUGAGUACAGUAGAGGCAGGCGGAAUUCGUGGUGUAGCGGUGAAAUGCUUAGAUAUCACGAAGAACUCCGAUUGCGAAGGCAGCUUGCUGGACUGUAACUGACGCUGAUGCUCGAAAG